rnacentral:rRNA from 1 species
UGUAAGCGUAUACCAAAGUUGUUGCAGUUAAAACGCUCGUAGUCGGAAUUUGGCAGUUCCGGAUGUGUGCACGUCGUGUGCGCACUUCGCGGGGAUUGCUUUUGUGGUCUUGCGUAGGAUGAGGCACUUUUAUUAGUGAACGUCCUCACGCAACCACUUUUUACUGUGAGAAAAUCAGAGUGCUCAAAGCAGGCAUUUGCCGUGAAUGUAUUAGCAUGGAAUAAUAGAAUAGGACUUGGUUCUAUUUUGUUGGUUUGUUGGGACUGAGUAAUGAUUAAGAGGGACAGUUGGGGGCAUUUGUAUUUCGGUGCUAGCGGUGAAAUUCUUAGAUUACCGAAAGACAAACUGCUGCGAAAGCGUCUGCCAAGGAUGUUUUCAUUGA